GAUGAAGAACGUAGCGAAAUGCGAUAAGUAAUGUGAAUUGCAGAAUUCAGUGAAUCAUCGAAUCUUUGAACGCACAUUGCGCCCGUCAGUAUUCUGGCGGGCAUGCCUGUUCGAGCGUCAUUACGCCCCUCAAGUCCCCUGUGUACUUGGUGUUGGGGAUCGGCGAGGCUGGUUUUCCAGCACAGCCGUCCCUUAAAUUAAUUGGCGGUCUCGCCGUGGCCCUCCUCUGCGCAGUAGUAAAACACUCGCAACAGGAGCCCGGCGCGGUCCACUGCCGUAAAACCCCCCAACUUUUUAUAGUUGACCUCGAAUCAGGUAGGACUACCCGCUGAACUUAAGCAUAUCAAUAAGCGGAGGA
rnacentral:misc_RNA from 1 species